rnacentral:rRNA from 1 species
UACGAAGGGGGCGAGCGUUGUUCGGAAUUACUGGGCGUAAAGGGCGCGUAGGCGGCCCCUUUUGUCGCGUGUGAAAUCCCCGGGCUCAACCUGGGAAUGGCGAUGGAUACUGGGCAGCUAGAGUGUGUCAGAGGAUGGUGGAAUUCCCGGUGUAGCGGUGAAAUGCGUAGAGAUCGGGAGGAACAUCAGUGGCGAAGGCGGCCAUCUGGGACAACACUGACGCUGAAGCACGAAAGCGUGGGGAGCAAACAGG